rnacentral:rRNA from 1 species
UAGCUACAGGCUUAACACAUGCAAGUCGAGGGGCAGCAUGGUCUUAUCUUGCUAAGGCCGAUGGCGACCGGCGCACGGGUGAGUAACACGUAUCCAACCUGCCGUCUACUCUUGGACAGCCUUCUGAAAGGAAGAUUAAUACAAGAUGGCAUCAUGACUCCGCAUGUUCACAUGAUUAAAGGUAUUCCGGUAGACGAUGGGGAUGCGUUCCAUUAGAUAGUAGGCGGGGUAACGGCCCACCUAGUCUUCGAUGGAUAGGGGUUCUGAGAGGAAGGCCCCCCACAUUGGGAACUGAGACACGGUCCAAACUCCUACGGGAGGCAGCAGUGAGGAAUAUUGGUCAAUGGGCGAGAGCCUGAACCAACCAAGUAGCGUGAAGGAUGACUGCCCUAUGGGUUGUAAACUUCUUUUAUAAAGGAAUAAAGUCGGGUAUGGAUACCCGUUUGCAUGUACUUUAUGAAUAAGGAUCGGCUAACUCCGUGCCAGCAGCCGCGGUAAUACGGAGGAUCCGAGCGUUAUCCGGAUUUAUUGGGUUUAAAGGGAGCGUAGAUGGAUGUUUAAGUCAGUUGUGAAAGUUUGCGGCUCAACCGUAAAAUUGCAGUUGAUACUGGAUAUCUUGAGUGCAGUUGAGGCAGGCGGAAUUCGUGGUGUAGCGGUGAAAUGCUUAGAUAUCACGAAGAACUCCGAUUGCGAAGGCAGCCUGCUAAGCUGCAACUGACAUUGAGGCUCGAAAGUGUGGGUAUCAAACAGGAUUAGAUACCCUGGUAGUCCACACGGUAAACGAUGAAUACUCGCUGUUUGCGAUAUACUGCAAGCGGCCAAGCGAAAGCGUUAAGUAUUCCACCUGGGGAGUACGCCGGCAACGGUGAAACUCAAAGGAAUUGACGGGGGCCCGCACAAGCGGAGGAACAUGUGGUUUAAUUCGAUGAUACGCGAGGAACCUUACCCGGGCUUAAAUUGCAGAUGAAUUACGGUGAAAGCCGUAAGCCGCAAGGCAUCUGUGAAGGUGCUGCAUGGUUGUCGUCAGCUCGUGCCGUGAGGUGUCGGCUUAAGUGCCAUAACGAGCGCAACCCUUGUUGUCAGUUACUAACAGGUUUCGCUGAGGACUCUGACAAGACUGCCAUCGUAAGAUGUGAGGAAGGUGGGGAUGACGUCAAAUCAGCACGGCCCUUACGUCCGGGGCUACACACGUGUUACAAUGGGGGGUACAGAGGGCCGCUACCACGCGAGUGGAUGCCAAUCCCCAAAACCUCUCUCAGUUCGGACUGGAGUCUGCAACCCGACUCCACGAAGCUGGAUUCGCUAGUAAUCGCGCAUCAGCCACGGCGCGGUGAAUACGUUCCCGGGCCUUGCACA